rnacentral:rRNA from 1 species
AGUCGAAGAGAAUCCGGAGCUUGCUCUGGAGGAAAGUGGCGCACGGGUGAGUAACGCGUAGGCAACCUACCCCUAGAUUGGGAAUAACCUCGGGAAACCGAAGCUAAUACCGAACAACAUCUUAGAGUCGCAUGACUCAGAGAUCAAAACUCCGGUGUCUAGGGAUGGGCCUGCGUAGGAUUAGGUAGUUGGUGAGGUAACAGCUCACCAAGCCGACGAUCCUUAGCUGGUCUGAGAGGAUGAUCAGCCACACUGGCACUGAGACACGGGCCAGACUCCUACGGGAGGCAGCAGUGAGGAAUAUUGCGCAAUGGGGGAAACCCUGACGCAGCCACGCCGCGUGGUGGAUGACACCCCUAUGGGGCGUAAACACCUUUUAUAAGAGAAGAAGGCCCUAGUCGCUAGGGUUUGACGGUACCUUAUGAAUAAGCACCGGCUAACUCCGUGCCAGCAGCCGCGGUAAUACGGAGGGUGCAAGCGUUGUCCGGAAUCACUGGGUGUAAAGGGUGUGUAGGCGGGACUAUAAGUCAGAGGUGAAAUCCCACAGCUUAACUGUGGAACUGCCUUUGAUACUGUAGUUCUUGAAUAUCGGAGAGGUUGCUGGAAUUCGUGGUGUAGCGGUGAAAUGCGUAGAUAUCACGAGGAACACCAGAGGCGUAGGCGGGCAACUGGACGAUUAUUGACGCUGAGGCACGAAAGCGUGGGGAGCAAACAGGAUUAGAUACCCUGGUAGUCCACGCUGUAAACGAUGGAUGCUCGGUGUCGGCCCUCUUUUGGGCCGGUGCCUAAGCUAACGCGUUAAGCAUCCCACCUGGGGAGUACGCUCGCAA